UACAGAGGGGGCAAGCGUUGUUCGGAAUUACUGGGCGUAAAGGGCGCGUAGGCGGCCUGUUAAGUCGAACGUGAAAUCCCCGGGCUUAACCGGGGAACUGCGUCUGAUACUGGAUGGCUUGAGUUUGGGAGAGGGAUGCGGAAUUCCAGGUGUAGCGGUGAAAUGCGUAGAUAUCUGGAGGAACACCGGUGGCGAAGGCGGCAUCCUGGACCAAUACUGACACUGAAAAGCGAAAGCCAGGGGAGCAAACGGG
rnacentral:rRNA from 1 species